CAAAGAUAAAGAAUGUGAUGUUUUAUUCCUUUAAUAACAGCAAUGAAAUGAAAGAAAACAGGAAAAAAUAAAGAUUCAGAGACAAUAAUCCAAAAUGUGGAAAUGUAAAAGUCUUCAUUAUGAGCCUGAGUCCAGCAGCUCAUCUGAAGCUGAAGCUUUAAUCCUGUUGUUUACUGCGGACUUUAACACACAUCCUUUAUUUUAGAUGUAAAUACACACACAUGUUGUUGUUCCCUCGGAAACGUGUAAAUCCAGUCCACGUCGCGCUGCCUGCGGAACACGACACGUUAUUGGAGCUGUGAAGAUGCCCGUUAGCGCGAGCGCGCGCACCACACGCCCAUGAGACCGGACCGGAAAACGUCGCGUCUCGUGCGCACACUAACGCUUCGAGGACGUGCACUUUUUAUGGACGUGACAUCUUCGAGUCCGAGUAGUUAAAGAUGGAUCCGUGUUCUCCGGUGUGUCACGUAACCGAGAGCAGCUCGAAAACUAUCAUGUCUGCAAGGGCAGCGAUCUGCUUCCAGCCUCGUCCAGGUCCCGGUUUGAGGACAGUUCUGUGUGUGAGGACACGUCCUGGUCUGGUGUGAUCGAUGGAAUGAGGCCGUGUUUGACUCGUCUCCUGCGCCGUAUUUGUCACAGUUUCCCACAACUCUAAGGGAUGGAGUGGCUCAUCAUCUCUCUGAUAAUCCUGGUUGUUUCUACCUCCGGACAUCUCUGUCCCAAGCGCUGCAUGUGCCAAAACCUCUCUCCAUCGCUCGCUAUCCUUUGUGCCAAGACGGGCCUGCUCUUUGUACCCACCGUAAUCGAUCGCCGGACAGUAGAACUUCGUCUCACUGAGAACUUCAUCACUACAGUAAGGAGAAGAGACUUUACCAACAUGACCAGUCUCCUGCACCUGACGCUGUCACGCAACGCCAUCAGCCAGAUCAUGCCUCACACAUUUGCUGACCUCAAGCGGCUGCGAGCGAUGCAUCUGGACAGCAACCGCCUCAGUGUGGUCACAGACGACCACUUCCAGGGUCUAACUAAUCUGAGACACCUUAUUUUAGCCAACAAUCAGCUCCAUGACAUUUCUCCACAUGCUUUUGAUGACUUCCUGGGGACUCUUGAAGACCUGGAUCUGUCUUACAAUAAUCUGGUGGACAUUCCUUGGGACACCAUUGGGAGGCUCACCAAUGUAAACACGCUUAACAUGGACCAUAACCUUAUAGAUCACGUCCCUUUAGGAGUGUUUUCCAACCUACACAAACUAGCUCGUCUGGAUAUGACCUCCAAUAAACUGAAAAAGAUUCCUCCUGAUCCUUUGUUUCUUAGGAUCCCAGUUUAUGCCAAGUCCAAGGGGUCUCCACUGACCUCACUUGUUCUUAGCUUUGGAGGAAACCCUCUGCAUUGUAACUGUGAGCUCCUUUGGCUAAGACGGCUAACGAGAGAAGAUGACCUGGAAACGUGUGCCACACCUCCUGAUCUUACCGCUAAAUACUUUUGGACAAUUCCUGAGGAAGAGUUCAUCUGUGAGCCACCUGUUAUUACAAGGAGGUCCUUCAAGACCUUUGCUAUGGAGGGUCAGCCAGCCAGCUUAAAAUGUAAAGCCAAUGGUGACCCUGACCCAGACAUCCACUGGAUUUCUCCGGAAGGUCGUCUGAUCUCCAACACUUCCCGCACUCUCACCUUUAGCAACGGUAGCCUGGAUAUAAACAUUACCUCCCUGAAGGACACAGGCGUGUUCACUUGUAUUGCCUCCAAUGCUGCUGGUGAAUCUACAGGCACCGUGGAGCUUGUGGUCACUCCACUUCCUCACCUGGCCAAUAGCACUAAUCGCGUCCAGGAGCCUGAUCCAGGACCAUCUGAUAUCUUGACAUCUGCCAAGUCCAGCUCUUCCUAUAGCAAUGAUACAAGAAUACAAGAAAAGCCAACAAUACUAGCAGAGCUCACUGCAAACUCUGCUCUCAUCAGAUGGCCUUCACAGCAGCAUUUCCCAAGUAUUAGGAUGUUCCAGAUUCAGUACAACAGCUCAGUAGACGACACUUUGGUCUACAGGAUGAUCCCAUCUACAAAUCAGGACUUUUUGGUGAGAGAUCUGUCGUCUGGGCGCGAGUACGACCUGUGUGUGCUGGCUGUGUACGAGGACAGCGUAACCUCACUCACUGCCACACGGCAGGUGGGCUGCGUCUCCUUCAUCACACAUGCCGAGUUCACCCAGUGCCAUGUGUUGCGCAGUCACUUUUUGGGUGGAACCAUAAUCAUCAUCAUCGGUGGCAUCAUUGUAGCAUCUGUGCUGGUCUUCAUCAUCAUCCUUAUGAUUCGCUACAAAGUCUACAGCCAGCAUGGGCCGAAGGCCGGCAAGGGACUCGCCAAGACCAAGGUGCGUUCACAGAGCAACGGAGGAGGACAGGGUCUGGGACAAAUGCCCUGCUCCGGCUCUAAAGUCGUGGAGGGGCAGGAGGACCAAGGAUCAGGAUUCGGGGGAGUCACACGGGUGACAUCGUCCUCUCUCAAAGACUGCAUUACCAUGGCUUUAGUUAUGGACUGUGAGAAGGGACUGCAGAGCUCAGAGGCCAGCGGUGAGGGCACAGUUUUACCCCUACAGAAGCGUCUCUCCAGGACUUGCCUAGAGCAAAAAGCUCAACCUUCUCUGUCCACCAUCGAUGGGACUGCAACUGUGGAAGGAAACACAACAGACCAGCAGGGCGGUGAGGAGAAAAAGGUUUUGCCAGAAUGGGGCAAUUUAAAAAUUUGAUGACCUCCUAAUGUUGUCAGGCAAGAGACAGCCAUCAACCCUGACAAAGCUCCCUAAGUGACCUGAAAUCAUGGAAAAAAAUAAAGACUGAUUGAGGGAAUUAUUUCUUUAAAGGAAAAAGUGCCAUUCUUUUAUCUCUAAGACUGUCCAAGAAAUUAUAUUUAUGGACUUUAAGAAUUCGCUGUUGAAGAACAAAGACGUCUGAGUCUGUGGUUGUUGUAUGUCUCUGGCUUGUGGACUUUCCUACCUUCUCUCCUCUCUGAGACCAGGAGUGUCUUGUAUUACAGUGUUCAUCACAGAAGGUAUUCUCCUUUUCCCAUCCUUAGGCAUAUCCAGAAAGUUCCAGUAGGAGAUGUAGGACACACCUGAGACCUGAGACCUGAUCUUCUCUUCUCUUCUCUUCUCUUCUCUUCUCUUCUCUUCUCUUCUCUCCUCUCCUCUCCUCUCCUCUCCUCUCCUCUCCUCUCCUCUCUUCUUCAACUCAUGUCUACAAGAACUGACUGAAGACACAGAAUAAAUGACACAACACACAGGAGUCUGAGGAGCCCAAGGGUUUUUUCUAAUGUUCUUUAACUUUACUUUGAUGUUUUGUUUAGUAGUGUACAUAACUGUACAUAACUGUACAUAACUGUACAUAGCUGUACAUAAGCAAUUUUAAAUCUUAUAGUUUUGUACAUGUAUUUUUUAUGGCGUUUAAUCAUAUAAAGAGUGUUUGACUCAAAGAUUUAAUGUAAAGACACAAACACACAAAGUCGGUUGACACAGUGAGAGAAACUGCACCUUUCAUGUGUGGGCUGGAGAUGAUGAUGAUGAUGAUGGGAAAAUAAUCAAACUUUAACCAAAUUAAUGCAUCAUGACACUAACCCUGACACGACCAUGACCACACUGACCAUGACACUAACCCUGAAAUGACCACACUGACCAUGACCACACUGGCCAUGACACUAACCCUGAAAUGACCACACUGACCAUGACACUAACCCUGACAUGACCAUGACCACACUGACCAUGACCACACUGACCAUGACCACACUGACCAUGACACUAACCCUGAAAUGACCACACUGACCAUGACCACACUGGCCAUGACACUUACCCUGAAAUGACCACACUGACCAUGACACUAACCCUGAAAUGACCACACUGACCAUGACACUAACCCUGACACGACCAUGACCACACUGACCAUGACCACACUGACCAUGACCACACUGACCAUGACACUAACCCUGACACGACCAUGACCACACUGACCAUGACCACACUGACCAUGACCACACUGACCAUGACACUAACCCUGAAAUGACCACACUGACCAUGACCACACUGGCCAUGACACUAACCCUGAAAUGACCACACUGACCAUGACACUAACCCUGACAUGACCAUGACCACACUGACCAUGACACUAACCCUGACAUGACCAUGACCACACUGACCAUGACACUAACCCUGCCAUGACCAUGACCACACUGACCAUGACACUAACCCUGACAUGACCAUGACCACACUGACCAUGACACUAACCCUGACAUGACCGCACUGACCAUGACACUAACCCUGACAUGACCACACUGAUCAUGACACUAACCCUGACAUGACCAUGACCACACUGACCAUGACACUAACCCUGACAUGACCAUGACCACACUGACCAUGACACUAACCCUGACAUGACCAUGACCACACUGACCAUGACACUAACCCUGACAUGACCACACUGACCAUGACACUAACCCUGACAUGACCAUGACCACACUGACCAUGACACUAACCCUGACAUGACCAUGACCACACUGACCAUGACACUAACCCUGACAUGACCAUGACCACACUGACCAUGACACUAACCCUGACAUGACCACACUGACCAUGACACUAACCCUGACAUGACCAUGACCACACUGACCAUGACACUAACCCUGACAUGACCAUGACCACACUGACCAUGACACUAACCCUGACAUGACCAUGACCACACUGACCAUGACACUAACCCUGACAUGACCAUGACCACACUGACCAUGACACUAACCCUGACAUGACCACACUGACCAUGACACUAACCCUGACAUGACUAUGACCACACUGACCAUGACACUAACCCUGGGGUCUUUAACACUGGGUUUAUUCAUGUGAUGUGUAAGAAUGAGACCAUCUUUAAGUGGACAUAAGUGAAGAGGCUUCUGUUCUUAGAUACAAGAUUAAAUAAAUAUCUCUGAUUUAAACUGUCU